rnacentral:rRNA from 1 species
AGUGAACGCUGGCGGUAGGCCUAACACAUGCAAGUCGAACGGCAGCACAGUAAGAGCUUGCUCUUACGGGUGGCGAGUGGCGGACGGGUGAGGCAUACAUCGGAAUCUACUUUUUCGUGGGGGAUAACGUAGGGAAACUUACGCUAAUACCGCAUACGACCUACGUGUGAAAGCAGGGGAUCUUCGGACCUUGCGCGAUUGAAUGAGCCGAUGUCGGCUUAGCUAGUUGGCGGGGUAAAGGCCCACCAAGGCGACGAUCCGUAGCUGGUCUGAGAGGAUGAUCAGCCACACUGGAACUGAGACACGGUCCAGACUCCUACGGUAGGCAGCAGUGGGGAAUAUUGGACAAGGGGCGAGAGCCUGAUCCAGCCAUACCGCGUGGGUGAAGAAGGCCUUCGGGUUGUAAAGCCCUGUUGUUGGGAAAGAAAAGCAGCAGGUUAAUACCCCGCUGUUCUGACGGUACCCAAAGAAUAAGCACCGGCUAACUUCGUG